CCUACGGGUGGCAGCAGUGGGGAAUAUUGCACAAUGGGGGAAACCCUGAUGCAGCAACGCCGCGUGAGUGAUGACGGCCUUCGGGUUGUAAAGCUGUGUCUUCAGGGAAGUAAAUGACGGUACGUGAGGAUGAUGCCGCAGCUAACUACGUUCCAGCAGCCGCGGUAAUACGUAGGUGGCGCGCGUUGUCCGGAUUUACUGGGCGUAAAGGGAGCGUAGGCGGACUUUUAAGUGAGAUGUGAAAUACUCGGGCUCAACUUGAGUGCUGCAUUUGAAACUGGAAGUCUAGAGUGCAGGAGAGGAGAAUGGAAUUCCAAGUGUAGCGGUGAAAUGCGUAGAGAUUAGGAAGAACACCAGUGGCGAAGGCGAUUCUCUGGACUGUAACUGACGCUGAGGCUCGAAAGCGUGGGGAGCAAACAGGAUUAGAUACCCGGGUAGUC
rnacentral:rRNA from 1 species